rnacentral:rRNA from 1 species
AUGCCUAGCUGUGCAACGAUGCCGAUCCGGUGGGCUGGAGCGUCACCAUGCCGUCCACGCCAACCCUGCGGCACGUUUGGCGGACCAGCUCAGUUCCCCGAUCCAAGGAGCGGAUCGGCGAGCUGGUCGCCCUCGCCAUCAGCGAAGGACCACCAGAUCGGGGGUGCGGCCGGACCGGCGCAGGAUCUUGUGCCGGGUCUUCCACCCGCGACCGUCGACGAGCUCCAUCAGGUCAUCCAACGGCGUGGCGAACGCCUCGGCUGUUUCGUCACUCGCUUCCAAAGCACUGCGGAGCGCGUACCAAGGCUGAGAGACGGCAUGCUCAUCACCGCCUUCGAAGCCAACGUGCGCCAUCCACAACUCCGAGACUUCCUCCGAUCGAGGAUCGUCCACAGCAUAGAUGAGCUAUGGAGUAUCGCCCCAGCCUACGUCGUCGACACCGACGAAUCAGGGCCCCCCACCGGUGGAGGUCGCAGAAGUGUGAUCUGA